rnacentral:rRNA from 1 species
UACGUAGGGUGCGAGCGUUGUCCGGAAUUAUUGGGCGUAAAGAGCUCGUAGGCGGUCUGUUGCGUCCGCUGUGAAAACUCGGGGCUUAACCCCGAGCCUGCAGUGGAUACGGGCAGACUAGAGGUAGGUAGGGGAGAAUGGAAUUCCCGGUGUAGCGGUGAAAUGCGCAGAUAUCAGGAAGAACACCCGUGGCGAAGGCGGCUCUCUGGGACGGUACUGACGCUGAGACGCGAAAGCGUGGGAGCGAACAGG